rnacentral:lncRNA from 1 species
UUCACGAUUGACCAAACGACAACAACAACGGCUCCCAAGCGUACCUCUCCCCGUCAAAAUAGAUAGAAGUCGAGCCAGUAUCCUCUUCCUCUGUCCCUUUCUGCUUUUGUACAGUGUUUUCGGCAGGAGCAGGCCUCCAAUGUCGUCCUUGGAAUCGGGAGAUUACUCUAUGUCGACACCAAGGACGUUUAAUAGAUCCUAGACGUCGAUUUCCCCUUCCUUUUUCAGAAUGCAUUUGAAACAUCAUAAAAAGAAUGUUCGUGCAAUUCGGUGAAAGUUCAGACGUUUUUGAAUUUCGAUUUGGGGCUUAUUUUUGAAUUUUUUUCAUCCAUUUUUCCCUUCAAUGGAACCCUAAUUCUUCCCUAUAUAUACUCUCAUUGGUUCCACUGUUAAAGGGGGAUUUGGGGGAACUUUUUUUUUUCUUUCUUUGAAAAAAGAGUAGGAAAAUCUGUUUGAAGAGCUUGAGUUAGAGAUUUCUUAGACAAAAGUUUGUUGGAUAUCUCUAGUUGGGGGAAGUUGUUAGAAAAUAUUUUUUUAGCCGGAAAUCUUGAUCGAAAGCAAAGUACAUGCAGAAUUCUUAGAGAAAGUGGUCAAAAUAUAUACCAAAGUUUAGAACAUAGUUAAUCCUAGCCAAAAUCUUUCUGCUCCAUCUCGUCGCUCGCACUCACACUAAAUGUAGUCGGAAUCGAGAUUUCUGCUCGAUUUCGUUGUUCACUAGUCGAGGUUAGUGGUGAAUUUUCUGCACUCUUCCUCCUCGUCUCCAGUUGCUGCACUUCGAAAGGUAACACCCUCUCCCUCAUAAUGUCCCUCUCGAAUCUUCUUUUAUCUUAAAAUAAUAUUUUCGAUGAUUAGCGAACCUUGUCUCGUGGCUGUUUGUUUCUGGGUUACCUGGGAGUUGAUGUUGUUUUUAGUAUGGAGUUUAUUGUUCUAUUUGUUUUGUUUUUGUGAGUUGGUCUCGAUAUGAGCCUAUUCUAUUUCGGAAACAACUAAUUUUAUUCUUUGUUCUACCCGAAAUGGUUUAAAACUUAUUCGGAUUUCAAUAUUAGGCUUAUAUGUUGUACGACUUGAUUUUUGGGUGCUUUCUCUGUGUGGAUUCGCAGCUAUCGAUUUUUGCCCCUUUUUUGUUUACUAACAUGUCAAGAGUAAAUAUGAGCUUUGUUGUCUCCUGCAAGCCUGAUUAUUGUCCUUAUUUUUCACUUUCUGCUGUCUUCAAUGCUUAAUAUUGUAUUGGGUUGUAAGUUUCUUCAAAUAAAAAAAAUAAAAAAAUAAUUUUUUUUUAUGAUUGCUCCAUAUUAUGAACUAUAUGAUUUAUAGAGGCCUGUUUUGGUUUUUGUUCUUUUUUUGUUGUGAUUUUAUCAAAAAUUAAAAUGGUCUCUUAAGCUUGAGUUUAUAUUCUUUUAGUUAGAUUAGAGCCUUUUGUCGAUAGUAAUUGUAGUUUGUAGCAAAAAAAAUCAAUAAAUAAAUAAACAAAACGAAUUAGAAUCUUGUUAGUAAGCAUGCUUAAUACUACUCGAUCAAAUUUAAGAGUUUUCCAUUGUCAAUGUUACACACUGCCUUGUUUAAGUUUGUUUUUUUUUCUCUUUAUUUUGUUUUAUUUAUAAUUGAUAUAGCAUGGUUUGUUGGUAUUUUGUCUUAUUUAUGCCCCUCCUUUGAUAUCUUUCCACUCUUAUAUUGUACAUAUUCCUUAGAUUGGUGUUCAUUUAGUAUUGGUUUCCUCAAGAUAUCAAUUUAUUUUCUACAUGUAUGCAGAGUAAUUGUUAUUCCCAUGCAUAUAAUUUGUCUGGUAGUGUUCACACAUGCAACGCGUGCUACUGUCCAAAGUCUUUUUGAAGGUUUUUUGUUAAUGUUAUUUUGGUUCACUUAAUACUUUAAAGUCAUGUAUUCCGGUCUAAUUCAAAUUCCCUUAGUAGCUUUUCCUUUUUAGUAAAAUCUUUUUUCGUUCAAGAUAUAUCUUGUUUAUUAUAUUAUCUCAUAUGCCAACUCAUUUCUAUUUUAUUGCAUGUAAAAAUUUUCGUUCUGGUCCUUGUGGACUUUAUUUCAUCCAUUUGCAUUCUCUUGUUGAGCCGUAAAGGCACAAACCUUUAUCCCGAGUCGGUCAGCCCCCUCAAAAUGAUGGUACAGGUUGAAAGCAGUAGCGUGCUACUGAAAAUUUAAUUUUUCAGUCCUCAAAAAAUCAAAAAUAGGUUGAUAUAAAGGUUGUAUACACCAAUAUAAGAUCGAAAUAUACGGAAUGCAGUGUGUAAAAAGGGUAAAAUUGCAGCAGAGAAUACAGGUUAUAAUGUGCUACGAAAAUACAAGCUCGGGAGGUCCAAAAUGGAUUAUAUAUGGCCUGUAUACAGUAGUAUACAUAAAGGGUAUACCAGAUUUUUCGGGAGAAUAAAAUGGACCCAAAAACCUUAAAAUUCCAGCAGGCCCAUUAACAGGAAUUGGGAUCAAAGACCAAAAUUGACAUUUUUCUCUUUAAAUCCUUAUUUAUUUGUGAUUAUGUUGACUAACAUUAUUUUGUUUUGGUUUUAAUUUAAUUAAUCCUCAAAAUAUUUGUGAUUAUGUUGACUGACAUUAUUUUUUACUUAGUUUUUUUUUUUGUUUAGUCUACACUUGAAUCUCUUCCUUUAAGAAUGAUUUCCUCUAGUUAUUUUCCCUUAAUAAAUAAUUAAAAGAAAAUAAAAACAAGCAAGUAAAAAAAAUUUAAAAAAAAUGAAAUUUACUUAGUUAUAAUUUUAAAAUUUAUUUAGAAGGUCAUUUUAGUCAAAUCGCUGGUCAACCGCGAGUUAGCGGGCAUUCCUAGGGCCUAUCACCUUCCCGAAAGUACAUUCAAACUUCGAACCAUUUUCAAUUUAUUUUUAUCUGUUUUAAAUCUUUUGAAAAAUAAUUUUAAGUUUUCUUGAUUUUACAAAAAAAUCAAGUGGCGACUCUGUCAAUUCAAAAAAAUGAUUUCUCUUAAAUCAUAAGAUUAAUCGAUUUUUCAAAAAUUAGUCAUUUACAUUAUAUAUAUUUAAAGUAAAACACAAGUCAAGUAAAUGUUAAAACAGUGAGUGCUGCAAUAGUAAGUGAUGCAACAACAUCGGUUGCACACAAUCGUUCAACUGUUGCCCUAGCGCCGACUGAGAAACUUAUAAAGUUUUCUGGAUUCAACUUCAAAAGAUGACAGUGGAAGAUGUUCUUUUAUCUCACUACUUUGAGUCUUCAGAAUUUCAUUAAUACAUAUGUUCCUUUCAUGUCAGAUGAAACUCCGCCUGAAAAACGAUUCUUGGUAACGGAAGCAUGGACACACUCACAUUUUUUUGUAUAAAUUAUAUUUUGAGUGACCUGCAAGAUGAUCUGUAUAAUGUGUAUAGUAAUGUCAAAACCUCUAAAAAAACUCUAAGAUGCUUUAGAAAAGAAAUACAAAACAGAGGAUGCCGGAAUGAAGAAGUUCAUUGUGACAAAGUAUCUGGACUAUAAGAUGAUCUCCUUGCGGAAGAUAUAUAAUUAUUUAAUGCCUAUGUUCAAAAUAUUAAGUUUAUUUUUUAUACUCAUAUAUUCUUUAAUAUAGGAUUGAUUGUGAAUGAUGUUUUUCAAGUGGCUGUCAUUAUUGAGAAGUUACCUCCAUUGUGGAAGGACUUCAAAAACUACUUGAAAUAUAAACGCAAGGAGAUGACUGUUGAAGAUCUCAUAGUAAGUUUGAGAAUCGAAGAGGAUAACAAAGCUGCAGAAAAGAGGUCACGUGGUAAUUCAGCAUAUCUGGAGUAAAUAUUGUCGAAGAAGAUCCCACAAAAUUAAAGAAAAGAAAGAAAACAUCUGGUCCAAAAAACAAUCCUCCUAAGAAGAAAUUCAAAUGGAAGUUGAUUCAAUUAUGGUAAAUGUGGUUAUAUGGCUACUGAAUAUAGGGGUCCGAAGAAGGACAAGAAGAAGAAGGAUCAAACAAAUUUGGUUGAAUCCAAAGGAGCAACGGACUACUCUAUGCAAUGCUUUAGAAUGUAACUUGGUUGGACAUCCAAGAAGAUUGUGGAAGAUUCAGGUGCCUCAUGGCAUGUUUGUGCCAAUAAAGAAUUAUUUUCAUCAUAUACUCCAACACCUACAGAUGAGAAUUUUUUAUGGAAAACUCCACUGUUUCAAAGAUGGAAGGAACUGACAAGGUCCUUUUAAAGAUGAAAUCAAGCAAAGUGGUGAUUUUGAACAGGGUCUCAUAUGUUCUUGAACUGCGCAAGUGUUGGGAUAUUGCCUAUGUUCCAGCCAAAUGUCCAUGGCCUAAUCCUACUUGGAAAAAGGAUUGAAAUUAUUCUCUUUAUUUGGUUUCCAAUUCUAUUAGGAAAAGAAUUGGAAUUGUAAUCCUAUUUGUAGUUGUUUUGGCUUUGUAAGGAAAAGAACAACUCUAUAAAUAGAGGAUGGUUUGAGAGAAUAAGUAAUUGUUCAUUGGUAUUGUCAUUGAAAGACAUUAGAACAUAAGUGAGGUUCUUUGAGAGAGCUUUCAACAAGAGAAAAAGAGAUAAAGAAAAGGGUUCUUUUGCUAUAGUCUUUUUCUCUUACCAACAACAUUCAGAUCGUGUUUCCAGAACCGUUGGAUCGGGCUGAAAUUUGGAUUGAGUGUUCCUGACAUCUUGGUGGUUGAUUUGAACGGUGAAGAUCGGAUUGAAGGUCAGCAGGAUCAAAUUUUAGGUCUCGAACAGAAGCUGGAUUUGGGUGGUAUUUCUUUCUAUUUAUCUUUUGUUAAUAUAGCUAUUGUUUGUUCUCUUUUGGCACUUGUUGUGUAGCCAUUAGAAGAAUAUUUGUAACCUUCUUAUUGGUAUGGUGAAGCAAUUCGGAUCUUGUCGAUCCCGUGGUGGUUACUUUCGGUUUGAAGGGUUUUUCCACAUUAAACUUGGUGUUCUUUAUUGUUAGAUUUUUGAUUUCAUCUUUUCGUUACAACAACUAGUAUUAGAGCGAAGGUUAUCCAUAUGGAGGGGAAUAUAAGCAAGAUAACCGAAAAUAAGUAGGUGUAAAUGCGGAAUCUAGCAAAGCAAACCUCAAAAGAUCACGAGUAAGAAGACAACGAGAAAUAUACCAGAAGACACAAAGAUUUAACGUGGUUCGGUCAAUCGACCUACAUCCACAAAAGAGAUGAGCAAUCCACUAUAAAUAUGAGAGUACAAAAUACAGAGGGAAACAACCUCAACCAAUUCACUCGGAAUACAUGGGAGGUUCACACAAGUAAUAACGUAUCAAGUUUGUGACCCAUAAAUUCUCCCCCUAACCAAAACUCUCAAAGCCCUUAAGACUACAAUGUGAAUGCUGAUUAAGUUAGAAGGGACAUUCCUCUAUUUAUAGAGUCAUAAACCUUUUCCUACAAGAAAAAGGAUUAGUCAAUUCAAAACUUUUUCCUAAAAGAAAAACCUAUUUAUGGUAAGAAAUUUAGGGCAAAUAAAACCUAACAAAUCUCCCCCUUGACCUGAAAUUCUGACAAAUUAAAUUUGUUCAUCCUUUUUACUUAAUCUUUAACAACUUGCUUCUCCUCUCCAUAAUCUCUUUUGAAAAAUUUAUGUCUCAACACAGAGAACCUCUCUGAAACAAUUUCUCCAACAAAAUCUUCAUUACUGUCAAAAAGGUUGCAGCUAAAACUACACCUGUCAAGAUGAACACAUCAUUUGAACCAGGUUCAAUCAUCACUUAUCGAACCACUAAACCUGACUCCAUUAUUGAAUCCGGCUCUAAUAAAACUUGUUAGGAUAAAAAAUAAGCAGGUGUAAAUGCGGAAACUAGCAAAGCAAAUCUCAAAAGACCACGAGCAAGAAGACAACAGGAAUUAUACGAAAAGACACAAAGAUUUAACGUGGUCCGAUCAAUCGACCUACAUCCACAAAGAAGAUGAGCAAUUCACUAUAAUUAUGAGAGUACAAAAUACACAAGGAAACAACCUCAACCAACUUGGAAUACAUGGGAGGUUCACACAAGUGAUAACGUAUCAAGCUUGUGACCCAUAAAAUCUCUCCCUAACCAAAUCUGUCAAAGCCCUUAAGACUACAUUGUGUAAGCUGAUAAAGUUAGAAGGAACAUUCCUCUAUUUAUAGAGUCCUAAACCAUUUCCUACAAGAAAAAAGAUUAGUCAAUCCAAAAGUUUUUUUCCUAAAAGGAAAACCUAUUUAUGGCAAGAAAUUUAGGAAAAAUAAAACCUAAUAGCAAGAACUUAGUUUCUAUUCCAUUUCUGACUAAGAAUGAAUUCAAAUGUGUAUUUGUUUCUGAUAAAAUAGUAGGGCAUAAGAUGAAAUGUAUGUAGAAAAAUGUUAUCUUAAUGAUAGCAUUUUCAAACUUAUUGUAAUUGCAUUUGAUAUGAAUAAAGAUUUUACUUCUUCUUAUUUGUUGGAGUCUAAUUGGCAUGAAUGUUUGAGACAAGUUAAAAGUAAAACUUUGCGAAAAAUGAUUAACUUCAAUGUUUUUCCUAAAUUUGAGUGCAAAUGUCAAGUUGCGUUGAAUCUAAGUAUGCUAAGCAUCUGUAUAAAUCUAUUAAAAGGAAUUCAAAUCCCUUAGAACUGAUUCACAUUGACAUUUGUGACAUGAAGUCAACACCAUCACGUGGUGGAAAAAAGUACUUUAUAACUUUUAUUGACGAUUGCACAAAAUAUAGUUAUGUUUACUUGCUAAAUGGUAAGGAUGAAGCAAUAAAUGCAUUCAGGCAAUAUAAAACUGAAGUUGAAAAUCACUUGGAUAGAAAAAUGAAAAUGAUAGAAGUGAUAGAGGCGGAGAAUAUGAGUCUCCAUUUAUAGAAAUAUAUUUGGAAAAUGGAAUAAUCCAUCAAUCUAAUGGGAUUGUUGAAAGAAAAAAUCAAACUUUAAAGGAAAUGAUGAAUAUCUUACUCAUAAGUUCAAAAUCACCACAAAAAAAAACUUGUAGGGGAAGCUGUCCUUACAACAAAUUGAAUACUCAAUAGAGUGCCUCACACGAAGACACAUGUUAUUACAUAUGAGAAAUGAAAAGGUAGAAAAUUCAAUUUUAAAUAUAUUAAAGUGUGAGGGUGUCUAGACAAAGUCUAGGUUCCUAUACCUAAGAGGGUGAAAAUAGGGUCUAAGACCGUGGACUGUGUAUUCAUUUGAUAUGCCACAAACAGUAAGGCAUGUCGAUCUUUGGUUUGUAAGUCUGAACAUCCAGAUAUUCAUGAUAAUAUGAUAAUGAAAUCAGAUAAUGCUGAAUUUUUUGAACAUAUCUAUCCAUAUAAAGCUAGACUUGAGUUAUCUAGUGUGGGAUCUAAACAAUCCCAAGAAGAACCAAAAGAGAAUGAAAACAAUGAAGAGAGCCCAAGGCACAAUAAAUGUCAAAGGACAACUACUUCAUUUGGAUCUGAUUUUGUAACAUUCCUUCUUGAAAGUGAGCCUCAAACAUUGAAGGAAGCAAUAUUGUCUAGGGACUCAACCUAUUGGAAAAAGGUUGUCAAUAGUGAGAUUGAAUCAAUCCUAAGCAAUCAUACGUGGGAUUUGCUUGAUCUUCCUCCAAGAAAUUAACCCUUGGUUUCAAAAUGGAUCUUUAAAAAGAUGAUGAAACUAUUGACAAAUAUAAAACAAGACUUGUUGUCAAAGGCUUUAGACAAAAAGAAGGUCUUGAUUAUUUUGACACAUACUCGUCAGUGACUAGGAUUACAUCAACUCGAUAUUAAUCGCUCUAGCUGCAGUAUACGAUCUUGAUAUCCAUCAAAUGAAUGUGAAAACCGUCUUCUUAAAUGGAAAGAUGGAGGAAGAAAUUUACAUGGAACAGCCUGAGAAUUUUGUAGUUCCUGGUGAAGAAAAGAAAGUGUUUAAACUUAUUAAGUCACUUUAUGGACUAAAACAAGCAUCGAAACAAUGACAUGCAAAGUUUUAUCAAAUCAUGUUGUCAAAUGGAUUUAAGAUCAAUGAAUGUGAUACAUGUGUUUACAUUAAAGAUACUUUGAAUCAGGAAGUCAUUGUAUGUCUAUAUGUGGAUGACAUGUUGAUAAUGAGCAAGGACAUUGCCAAUAUAAAAACUACUAAGCUUAUACUCACUAGUAAGUUUGAUAUGAAAUAUCUAGGAGUUGCUGACGUGAUGUUGGAAAUUAAGAUUCUCGAAACUCCUAACGGUAUAGCAUUGUCUCAAACUCAUUAUAAUCAGAAGGUACUUGAAAAGUUUAAGUAUUUAAACUUCAAAAGGGCAAAGACCCCAAUCGAUGUAAACUUUCAUCUUGCAAAGAAUAAAGGUAAAAGUCAAUCUCAAUUGGAUUAUGCCAGAGUAUUGGGAAGUUUGAUGUAUGUCAUGAAUUGUACACGACCAUACAUAGCUUGUGCUAUCAGUAAACUGAGUCGAUACACAAGUAAUCCCAAUACAAUCAUUGGUUGUAAAUGAAGAGAGUUUUGGGAUACUUAGACGACACUUAAAAUUAUGUUUUGCAUUACAACAAAUAUCCAGCAAUUCUUGAAGGACAUAGUGAUGCGAAUUAGAUUUUGGGUCAACGGAAAUAAAAUCCACAAGUGGAUACGUUUUCACUAUUGGUGAAAGAGGAAUAUCUUGUAAAUCAUCCAAACAAACCUGUACAACUCGCUCUACAAUGGAGUCUGAAUUCACCGCCUUAGACAAGAAAGGUGAAAAAGUUGAAUGACUCCAGAAUUUCUUACAAGAUAUUCCGUUUUGGCCCAAAUCAAUGGCCCAUAUAUGCAUACAAAUUGUGAUAGUCAAGCUGCAAUAGAAAGGGCUGAAAGCGUUAUGUAUAACGAUAAGUCUCGUUACAUAAGACAAAGAUAAAUCAAUUAAACAACUAUUCUCUAGUGGAAUUAUCACAAUUAACUAUGUAAAGUCAAAGGAUAAUGUGUCAGAUCCACUUACAAAAGGCCUAACUAGAGAGGGAGUUGAGAAAUCAUCAACAGGAAUGGGACUAUGGAUGAGAAGAUGAGGAUGAAGUUGUUCAUCCGGAGUCUGUCUAGAGAACUAUUGACCUGGUAUACCCGCCAAGAUCCUCGCAAGUGGCGUGACUGCCAAGAAAUGGUUGAGGACUUCUUAACUCAUUUAAGAUUCAAUAUUUAAAUUACUACUGACAGAUUCUUUUUGGCUAAUAUACAGAAGAAGCCAUCUGAAAAUUUCCAAGAAUACGCACGACGCUGGAGAACUGAGGCCACAAUGAUACAACCACCUCUAGACGAGAGUGAACUCUCAAAGUACUUCAUUCGGGCUCUAGAAGGUUUCUACUUUGAUUAGAUAAUGUUACUGAUGGGCCAGAAGUUUGCCGAACUGGUCAAGAUGGGUUAAUUUAUAGAUGGGGAUUUUAAAUAUGGGAAGAUUCAAUCUAUGAUUGCAUUGCAAGCUGCAAGUAGGGCUAUACUAUCGGGUUCCAUUGCAGCAUAAAAAAGAAGAGGGAUAAUUUCUCAGUUGUCGCUUACCAACAAGGAGGAUCGUCCCUUUGAUACCCUAGUAUUUUCAAAAUUGUUAUGCAUACUUCACAUGUCCCAAACCCAGUGUAUAAUACCCAACCACACUAUAAUCCACCCCAGGAAGAAACAUUCCACAAUCCUCCAAGACCAUAUGUCCAUGUCCAGGCACUAAUCGACAAAAAAAGACCAGCAUAUGCACCGAGACCACGUCCAAAUCUAGAAGCUAGACAUGCUUACACUUACACACCGAUUGCCGAACCCCAUGCCCAAUUUUUUGAGAGGUUGAGAACAGCGGAGUGUUGCAACUAGCUGUAGGAAAACUUCAUGAUCCGAUCCCCCAUAAUUUUGAUGGAAACAAGAGAUGGGCUUAACACUCGGGAAUCUAGGGACACGACACAGAAGAUUGUUAUGGUUUGAAGAACUAGAAUGAGUCUUUGGUCAAAAAGGGGUAAUCAAAUGCACUCCAGCACCACCCAAUGUAAACAAGAACCCCUUGCCAAGCCAUGAGAAUUGGGAAGUCAACAUGGUUGCUCUGCAUGAAGAUUAUGAGGGCCCUGAAUGUCAAAACAUGGAUGAAGCAAAUGCCAUAACAUCUUUGACACAACUAGUUAUCAUUUUUAAACUAAGGGAAUAUGUGACUGUUUGAAUAUAUCUCCGAAGAGUUGUAGUAACCACUUUGAUCGCUAAAAAGCCUGAAUAUUGCACCAAAGCAGCCCCAUGGGACUAUCGAGUAGGUACCCAGGGUAAUAUGAUCGACACUGUCGUGGCUUAAGGAAUUACUAGGUCGGGGAGGUGUUAUGACCCAGAGGAUCUAAAUCAAAGAGCUCUUGGAAAGAACAAAAUCCAAAGAAGAAUGUUACCAAUAUUGAAGCCGUAAAAUUUUAGAAGAAGAAGAAGAAAAUUAAAGACUAUUCAAUUGCAGAGCAGUUGAAGAGGACGCCAACCCACAUAUCCAUUUGUCUCUCCUUAUGAGUUCUGAAGCUCAUAGGAAUGCUUUGAUGGAAGUAUUAGAUGCAUUGAACAUUCCUAAAAAUACCACAUGUGAACCAUUAGCUGCAUUGAUUGAAAAAAUAGUGGAAGCUAACAAAAUCUCUUCCCACGAUAAUGAGUUUCUUGCAAAAGGGUUCGUCACAAAAAAGCGCUUCACAUUGCAGUCAAAUGUUUCGAUAAGAUUGUGACUCGAGUCUUAAUUGAUUAUGGUUCUGGAUGCAAUAUUUGUUCUUUCACCACUAUAAGGGAUAUUGGUGUUAAUAUGGAAGAGAUAAAGGAAAGUUGUGUGAAAGUUAGAGCUUUUGAUGUUGCACAGAUAAGUAUCAUUGGAGAGAUCUAUCUCACAUUGGAAGUAAGGCCGGAUGAAUUCCCCAUUCUGUUUCACGUGAUGGAUGUAUCAUUGAACUACAACCUGUUGCUAGGAAGACCAUGAGUCCACAUAGCAAGAGCGGUUUAUUCCACUCUUCACCAAUGUGUACCAUUUGAGUAAGGUUAUACAAAAGUUACCAUCCAUGGAGAGCUCAGUCACCCCAUCCUUUUUGUGAAUUUUAUCCAAGUCGCUGACGAUUUAAGCGAAGCCACCUUUCACACCUUGGAAAAUAUGCAAGUUAUAAGGGUCAAUGAGGAGCAGAGACUUGUAAUACAAAGUUGUCAAGUGUGGCAAAAAUGGUUGCGUUAGAGAUGUUGAAUUUGGGUAUCAGCCUAAGAGUGGACUUGGACCCAGGUCCAAUGGCAUAAAUGAAUCGAUCCAGUUGAAGAAUCAAAGAGGCACCAACGGACUCGAAUUUGAGCUUGCCUUGAGAAGAGACGACUAGGGGUAACGCAAUACAAUCUUUGUAUAAAGAUUUGACUCCGGAUCAAGCUGGCGUUGAUGACAUCGCAGAAAGAAUUGAAAAUUUGUUCGUGGCCAUGACCAGAUAAGAGGAAGAGAUCAAUCUCAACGAGUUGACCAUUCGUGAUGUCGAACUUGGAUAAACCUUGCAGAAUUAGACUAUCAGCCCGUCUGUGUUUCAACCAGUCCUGGUAGUGUGGAAAAGUAGUCUUAAUUUUAAAAUUUGCAUGAUCAAAUUGAGGCUUGAAUCAUGCCUAAUCUUUUGUUGCUUGCCUCUUCUAAAAGCUAGAAUUAUUUGUUAUAAAAGUCUUUAGUUUCUUUUAAAAAGUUCUUGUUAUUUUAUAUAUCUAUUUAUUUUUAUUUACCUUUUUCACUUUCAACGCUCAUAUUAAUAAAAAUCCUCGUUCGAAGGUUAUGGCAUGUAUUGAAUCCACCGAGAAAGGUGAAAAUGAUGAACAAGAUCAUGAAAAAUAUGACGAAAGAAUGAUGCCUGAAAAUCUACUACAUGAGAUUGAGCAAGUUUAAAGUCAAAGGAAGCCCAAUAUGGAUGAGACAGAGGUUGUUAACUUAGGAGAUGAGGAAACAUUGUAGGAAACACGAGUCAGCACACAUUUGGAGGUUGAAAGAAAACAAGAGUUAAUAGAGUUGUUUAAGCAGUAUGCUGACGUAUUUGCUUGGUCUUAUGACAACAUUCCAGGAUUAAGAACUCAUAUUAUCUCAUACAAAUUACCAAUUGACCCCACUUGUCCACCCGUUAAGCAGAAGACAAGAAAGUUCAAGUCGAAUAUUAGUUUAAGGAUCAAAGAAGAGGUAACUAAGAGAAUUGCAGAAAACAUCGUGAGGGUUUCAAAUUACCCCACAUGGUUAGCCAAUAUUGUGUUUGGGACAAAAAAGAAUGGAAAUAUUAGAAUACGUGUGGACUAUCAAGAUAUCAAUAGCGCCAGUCCUAAGAAUUAUUGUCCCCUUCCAAAUACUCAGAUACUCAUUGAUAAUUGUGCAAAAUAUGACUUACAAUCAUUUGACGAUCGCUUUGCGGAUAUCACCAAAUCGUGAUGAAUGAAGAUUAUGCAUAGAAGAUGGCGUUUAUCACUCUAUGGGGAAUGCAUUACUACAGAGUAAUGACAUUUGGUCACAAAAAUGUCGGUGCAACCUACAUGAGGGUCAUGACUGUCCUUUUUCAUGAUAUGAUCCACAAGGAGAUUGAAGUGUACGUGGAUGAUGUUGUUAUCAAAUCCAAAAUAAAUUCAUACCACCUAGAUGACUUGCGAAGGUUCUUUAAGAGGUUGCGUCAAUACAAUUUGAAGUUGAAUCCAGCAAACUGUGCAUUUGGAGUACCUACAGGAAAAAUUAUUGGGAUUCAUCAUUAGCGGGAAAGGCAUAGAGUUGGAUCAAUUGAAGAUAAAGGCAAUCCAAAAGUUACCUCCACAUAAGACCAAAAAGGACGUGAUGAGUUUCUUGGAAGACUUAAUUACAUCAGUCGGUUCAUAGCUCAAUCUACAGUGAUAAGAAACCCAUAUUCAAGCUACUGAAGAAGGAUGUUUCCACGAAAUGGACAGCGGAAGGCCAAAGGUCUUUCGAUAGAAUCAAAAAGUACUUGUCUAAUCCAUCUAUAUUGGUCCCACCAAAGCCUAGAAAGCCUUUGUUAUUGUAUGUAUCUGUCAUGGAUAAUGCAUUUGGAUGUGUAUUAGGGCAACAUGAUGAGAUAGGUAGAAGAGAGCAAGCCAUUUACUAUCUGAGAAAGAAGUUGACACCAUACGAGGCGAGAUAAACCUUGUUGGAACGAACAUGUUGCGCUUUAACUUAGAUCAUGCAAAAAAUUUAGGCAUUAACUAUCUGAAUACACCACGUACUUGAUCUCAAGAAUGGAUCCACUAAAGUACAUCUUUCAGAAACUAAUGCCCACAUGUAAGCUCGCAAAGUGGCAAAUUUUGUUGAGCAAGUUUCAUAUCGUGUAUGUGAAAGGAAAAGCCCUGGUUGAUCACCUUGUAGAAAAUUCUGUUGAACCAAGAUUACAAGCCACUCACGACCUACUUCCCUGAUAAAGAGAUUUUGUUUGUAGGAGAAGGCACAUCAUAAUUGUAUGAUGGAUGGAUAAUGGUCUUUGAUGGAGCAUCAAACUCUAUUGGAGUUGGAGUUGGAGCAGUCUUAGUUUCGGAAAUAGGUCAGUAUUACCCAAUCUCAGCCAAGAUUAGGUUUUAUUGUACCAACAACAUGACACAAUGAAGUUUGUAUUCUCGGACUCAAGAUGGUCGUAGACAUGAACAUCAAAGAACUCUUGGUGAUAGGAGAUUCCGACUUGUUGGUUUAUCAAGUGCAAGGAGAAUGGACCACUAAGAAUUUCAAGAUCCUUACUUAUUUGCAUUACAUAAAAUAAUUGAGUAGAAGUUUCAAAAGGAUUGAAUUCAAGCAUGUCCCUCAAGCUCAAAAUGAGUUUUUUUGAUGAUUUGGAAACAUUUUCCUCGAUGAUUUAGUAUCCAGACAAGAGUCACAUUGACCCUAUCGAUAUAUAGAUACAUGAUCAACAUGCAAAGUGUUACUAUGUAGAUGAGGAAUUGCAUGGAAGACCAUGGUACUAUGACAUCAAAAGGUUGAUAAAAGCAUAAGAAUAUCCUUAAAAUGCUACGGGAAAGAAAAAAUGGACUUUAAGGAGGACGGCCAAUCAUUUCAUCCUUAAUGGAGAAAUCCUAUAUAUGAGACCUUCAGAUAUAGGAUUGUUAAGGAGUGUCGACGUUGUAGAAGCGACAAGGCUUUUGGAAGAAAUCCAUGUAUGAACAUGUGGACCUUACAUGAAUGGGUUCACUUUGGCAAAGAAGAUUUUAAUAGUCGGAUAUUUUUGGAUUAUCAUGAAGAGAGAUAGCAUCCUGUAUGUGCAGAAGUAUCAUCAAUGUCAAGUGCAUAGAGACUUUAUACGAUUUCCAUCAAAUGAGCUUAAUGUAAUGGGUUCAUCUUGGUCGUUUGUCGCUUGGGGCAUGGCUGUUAUCGGACCCAUAGAGGCUCCAAAAAAUGGAUAUCAUUUUAUUCUGGAGGCUAUCGAUUAUUUCACAGUUGAAUCUUUGACAUACAAAGCAAUGACUAAGAAGGUAGUGGCAGAUAUUGUUCACAACAACAUAGUUUGUCGGUUUAGGAUUCCAGAAUCAUAGUUUGUCAAUUUAGGAUUCCAAAAUCAAUUAUAACAGAUAAUGCAGUCAACCUCAACAAUGAUCUUAUGUAGGAAACUUGUGAAAGGUUCAAGAUUACUCAUCGAAAUUCCAGUGUUUACCGGCCGCAGAUGAAUGGAAGUUUGAGGAUGCAAAUAAAAAUAUCAAGAAGAUUUUAAGGAAAACAGUGAACAUUCAUAAACAAUGGCAUGAAAAGCUACCAUAUGCUUUCCUUGGUUACCGCACCAUGAUCAGAACGUCAUAUAGGAAAACUCUUUAUGUGUUGGUUUAUGGUUUAGAAGCAGUAAUACCUGCUGAGAUAGAAAUACCAUCUUUAAAGAUUAUCCAACAGGUUGGUCUGGACGAUGCAGAAUGAAUAUACAGCAGGCAUGAACAACUAACAUUCAUCGAUGAAAAGAGGAUGGAUACAGUUUGUCAUGGCCAACUCUAUCAGAACAGAAUGACCAAAGCAUUGAACGAGAGAGUGAGAACAAAGCCAACCAAUUGAGACUCUAUUAAAAAAUAUUAUAUCUGAAGACCUCAAGAUUAGCGCUUACUUUUGUACUUUUGCAUUUUCAAUGUAAUAGAACUACCUCUAGACUUGAUUUCCUACAUUGGGAUACGUAGGCAACCCUUAUCAGAUUCGGUCUCCCUUAGAAAACCCAAAAUCAUCAUUUCCAUGUACUUAGAACCACACUCAACCUAAAUUCCCUCGGUGGGAUACGUAGGCAGUCCUUAUUUAGGUCCCUUUCACUGCAUAUUUUUUACUUUCCUUUUUGAAUUUGAACUACGUCCUGACCUGAUUCCGCUUGGAGACAUAGGCAGCCUGAGAUAGGCCCGAUCCUUGCAUUUCACAUUUUUCACUUUUCUUUUGUAUUUGAACUACAUCUGGACCUAAUUCCGCUUGGAUACAUGUAAAUCCUGAGUCACACCCAGUUAUUGUAUUUCAUAUUUCUUUCAUUUUGUAUUUAAACUACAUCCUGACCUAAUUGCGCUUAGAUACGUAGGCAGCCUUAGUCUGGCCCAAUCAUUGCAUUUCAUAUUUUUCACUUUCCUUUGGUAUUUGAAAGACAUCCUGACCUGAUCCCUCUAAGAUACAUAGGCAGCCUGAGUUAGGCUCUGACUUUGCAUCACAUGUUUUUUACUUUUCCUUCAAGUCUUCUAUUGUAAUUGAACUACGUUACGACUUGAUAUUAAUUAGAUACGUAGUCAUCUUGAGUCAAGCUCGGUCUUUGCAUUACCUAAUUCUAUAUCUCCCAUUUGUAUUCAAACUACGUUACGAUUUGAUUCUUGUUUAGAGAUACAUAGGUAGACUAGGUAAGGCCCGAUCAUUGCAUUUCAUAUUUUUCACUUUCCUUUGGUAUUUGAAAGGCAUCCUGACCUGAUUCCUCUUGGAUACAUAGGCAGCCUGAGUUAGGCUCGGACUUUGCAUCACAUGUUUUUUACUUUUCCUUCAAGUCUUCUAUUGUAAUUGAACUACGUUACGACCUGAUAUUACUUGGAUACGUAGUCAGCUUGAGUAAAGCUCGGUCUUUACAUUACCUAAUUCUAUAUCUCCCAUUUGUAUUCGAACUACGUUACAAUUUGAUUCCUAUUUGGGAUACAUAGGUAGACUGGGUCAGGCCCGAUCAUUGCAUUUCAUAUUUUUCACUUUCCUUUGGUAUUUGAAAGACAUCCUGACCUGAUUCCUCUUGGAUACAUAGACAGCCUGAGUUAGGCUCGGACUUUGCAUCACAUGUUAUUUACUUUUCCUUCAAGUCUUCUAUUGUAAUUGAACUACGUUACGACAUGAUAUUACUUGGAUACGUAGUCAUCUUGAGUCAAGCUCAAUUAUUGCAUUACCUAAUUCUAUAUCUCCCAUUUGUAUUCGAACUACGUUACGGUUUGAUUCCUAUUUUGGGAUACAUAGGCAGCCUAGGUCAGGCUUGAUCAAUCUCUUCAUAGUUUCCAUUUUUUUACCUUUAGGAAACACUUCCUCAUAGUUAGUGUAACCUCGAUCGUUAGAAUAUCUACAAAAGAGUUGGGGAAGCUUGUUCAGAAUAGUAAAAGCUACAACAGGACUAUGUUGGAUAUAAUCAACAAAAUGGAAAGCUCGAUGGACUUCGUAACAUUUCAUAAUUUUAAAACACUGGAGAAUUUAUUAUGCAUACUUAUAUACCUAACCACCUACCAAGUCUCUAGGUUAAGAAACUAUGUGUGUGAAUGACAAGGUGUAGAAGGAUUCUAGAGAUGAGGCUUUAGUUUGCGAGUCGAUACAAAUCAACAAACUUUCCAAACUAAAAUUUUCUUUUGAGUGCGGGAAUAUAGGAAUCAAGGAAAUAACAUGAAGUCUCGGGGCCUGACAAAAAAUGGCAUUCGACUUCUCCCAAUCAUAUGCCGAAAUAUUUGUUCCCUACUUUAUUUUUCAGAAGUACUUCAAUUUGAAAUCUUAUGUCUGAGAAUAUUUCAGUUAAAUUUUUGCAGGUGCGCUCAAGAUCCGAAUCAAAUGUUGAAGAAUAGAGUGCCCUCGUAUUAAAAUAGGAUAGUUAGAGUUUUGUUAAAAUAACUCCACCAGUUGGAGCUUGAAAACUAACCGUAUCAACA